rnacentral:lncRNA from 1 species
GUAAAGGUGAAAGGCUCUAUGUCCUGGGAAGAGGCAGUGUCCACUACUAGACAGUAUUCCAUCAGAAGCAAGUAAAGAUUUCCUAGGGGUAAUUAUUUCCCACUGCCUCAGACCACAGGAGAGUGUGAACAGCUAACAAAUAGUAUGAGGGCUGAUAUGGAGAAUAUGCCAA